rnacentral:sRNA from 1 species
UGUCACGGUUCUGUAGACUGUACAGGAAGCAUGGCAGCAUCUGCUUCUGGGGAGGUCUCAGGGAGAUUUUACUGGUAGCAGAAGGCAAAGCAGGAGCAGGUGUCUUACAUGCCUGGAGCAGGAGGAAGAGACGGGGAGGUGCCACACACUUUUAAACAAUCAGAUCUCACUAUAACUCACUCAUUGUCACAGGAACAGCAUGAGGAAAUGGUGCCAAACCAAUCAUGAGGGACCGCCCCCAUGGUCCAGUCACCUCUCACCAGUCCCUACCUCCAUCACUGGGGAUUACAUCUCAACAUGAGAUUUGCUGGGGACACAGAUCCAAACCAUAUUAUCCCUUUUUUUUCUAAAAUUUUGUCUUCCAUGCUCCUUUUUAGACACAUGGGGAGCAUGUGUUCCUGUCUUGGGGUCUUUGCAUUUGCUGUUUUUUCUUACUGGAACCUUUUUCUUCAUACUUACACCAGGCCAUUCCAUCUGCUUUGUAUCUUUGUUAGGUAUCACGCUUUCAGUGACCCCUUUCCUGCCAACUGUAUUUAAAAUUGUACCCACUCCCCUUCCCUGUACUUCCCAUCCCUUUCCUGACUUAGUUUUCUCUGUUGCACUUAUUACUCUCAGAAAUAUUAUAUAUUUACCUAUCUAUCUGGUUUGGUAUAAGCUGAGCAUCCAUAAUCUGAAAAGCUGAAAUCCAGAAUGCUCCAAAAUUUGAAACUUUUUGAGGACUGACAUGAUGCUCGAAGGAGAUGCUCAUUAGAGCAUUUUCGAUUUCAGACAUUUGGAUUAGGGAUGUUCAACUAGUAAGUAUAUAGUGCAAAUUUCCAAAAUCUGAAAACAAUGGAAAUCCAAAACAUUUCUGCUCCCAAGCAUUUUGGAUAAGGGAUAUUCAACCUGUACUGAUAUGUCCUACUAGUAUAUGACUCAAUAAGGGAAAGGAUUUUGUCUCCCCAAUGCCACUGUCAUAUUUCUACUUUCUAAAACAGGGAUGUACAAUCAAUAUUUGUUGAAUAAAAUAACUGAAUUAUUAUCAUUUUCAAAGUUUUAUUGUUAUUAUUUCUUAAUUGUUACAGUCAUGGGCCAUAUAACAUUUUUGUCAAAGACAAAAAGUAGGAAGGUGGCAGCUCCUGAUGGCUUUUGUGGGCUUCAGGGAAGCUUCCAGAGCACACCUGAGGAGACCAGAGUUGAGGAUCUUCCAUUCAAAUAAAUAAUAUUUUUUGUGACCAAUUCCCUACCAUCAGUUCUUAACUCUGAUGCUCACAUAAUCGUCUUGUAAGAAGAAAUGGUUUCUCCGGGUCUUACUGCUUGUUUUGAGCUGUUUGACAUCUGACUGGCACAUUGGUGCCUGGUGUUAGGUUAACAAGCAGUUCAUAAGACCAUUCCUGUCAGUGACGGUUUUGCCUGAUUUCCUCACUGAGUAACUAGAAGAGAUGCUUUUGCAAAGUAUUCCAGGUCUUGGCUAGUUCUCCACAUUCUCUUAGAAAUGAGGUCAAAGAAAACAUUUGGACAGAUUCUUGAAGUUCUUUAUAGCAGAAUUUGGUGUGUUUUGAAUUAUUUAAUAGGAUGAGGGCCAAAGAAAGCUUUGUACUCUCAAGUUCUAUUUUCAAAGAAUCUGGGGAGUGAGUCUUUAGUUCCUUUUCUAUAUCCUAGGAAAUCAAGUGGAAAUUCUUCUUCAAGUCUUGGAGAAAUGGUAUCUGGGACAUUUCGAGCAACUCCCACAUCAACAGGUGAGGGUUGUAGUUAAACUCUUUUUCAUAGACUGUAUUCCUUUUAAAAAUAUUUGAACACACAUGCAAGUAUGUUUGCUAAUUUGGAAACAAUUUGAAGGCUUAAUUUAAAGAUUUCUCUAAUAUUUCAUUUCUCAUUUGUUUUCUAUGGUAAUUUGAUUUCAUUUAAAAUGGUACUAAAAGUUCACGUCAUUAGAAUAUAAUUUUGAAAAAUCUUAUUUACCCCCCAGAGUUAAAAACUGUCCAUUGUGUAAAUUGAUAUUCAAAAAAUUCAUAUUUUACCUAAGAAACGGACAGAGUUUAAGAUGGUGAGGGCCAAUAAAAAAAGGAAAAAAAUGAUGCAGACUCUCAAGAAAAUGCUCUGUUUUCAGUCUCCAUGUGGAACUUCAGGAAGUAUUAGUACAGCCUGAGCUGGGAGGGUUGAAGCAGAGAGUAAGGCAGGGCCCAAAUGAGGGAGGGUGUCAUUUACAUUUGGACAGCAGACAGCCAAGCCCUGAAAUUAAUGGUAAUGAAGAGAUAGUGGUGGCCUAGUAGGGAGUUGUGGUGCAUUUGGAAACUAUGGAGGUAUUCCUGUAGGAAUUUUUCUUCUACCACAUUCCCUGAUUCCUAUAGGCUAAUUUCAUUCUGGCCUACAAUUGCUGUUUCAUUAGGGCAUCCAGUGCCCUAGUUACCAAUUCCAAUUGUAUUACCAAUUUGGAAUGGCAAGUCCAAGGCCCUAUCCUGGCCUACCAAAACUGGAGGCAACUGGAUUGGUUCUGGAAUGGUUCUAAGUGUCUGGGUGGUUGUUCAUGUGAAGCCCUCUGAUCUACGGGACACUGAACCAAACCAGGUUUCUGAGUUGUACCCAACUAGACUGGAGCUGCUUGGAUGUCCACAGAAUUGCUUUAAAUCAGUUAUUGAGUGUAUUUUGCUUCGUUCCCAUUUGUUGGACAUUCAGGACAUUGAACACUUUAGCUAUUACAAACAGGAAAGAACAGCAAUAACUGGUUAUAAAUUUAUCUGAGGAAUAACUGGUUAUAAAUAUAUUUGAAAUUUAAAAGCAAGAUAGUAGGAAAAAUGUGCUAAUAUUCUAGAAAAUGGGCAAAAAUGCCCAAGGGACUGCAGAAUUAUGAGUUAACAAAUAUAAAAAUAACUAGUGAUUGAGGUGAUAGUCAUUUUUGCCCAAGUGGUUAUUCUGUUUCCUUUUAUGAAAUUGCAUUUGUCUACCUUGUUCCCAGCAACACUGUGCUAUGUCCAGCACAGGAACAACCCAUGGUGAAUGGCUGGCCCGGAACUUCCAGUGUUGCUCUCAACUCCUGUACCGAACUCCCACCCAGUGAGAAAUCAGGAUAUAAGAUCAUUUGUACCAGGGAGGAAGCUGUCUGUUUUUCAUACAUCUUCAAAAUUGACAUGUCCAGAAUGAAAUCAUAAGGCAGGUUCUCCAAAGUGGGUGAUAGGAAAGUGGUGAAGAUAAUUACAGGGACAAAUGGGUACAUUCUUCCAUCUUUUAAACUCAUGUACUGUCAUUUGCAGAGAUUACAUAUUUUGAUAUGGCUCUCGUUAUUGUCUUUUAGCAAAACAGAAGCAAAAAGUGGUAAGUUGUGUUUCCUUUUUAAAUCUACUGUUAAGGUUCCUAUACAUACAUGCCCGCAAUGCUCCAUUUCAGUGACCCAAGUGGCUAUAAAAUAAGGGAAGAGCCUCCUCGGUGGGGACUUUGAUAAUCAUUUGUCGUUCAACCUGAGAAUUAUGAAUGUUGUGGCUGUGGAGAGGCAUGCUCAACCUCACCUUGUCAUGCAUGUUGAAUCAUCUUUUUCAGACGGAGCACAUUCCUCCUUAUGAUGUUGUGCCGUCAAUGCGUCCGGUGGUGUUAGUGGGGCCGUCACUGAAAGGUUACGAGGUACAAAUAUCAUCUGUUACUCUUCAGUUCUUGAUCGAGCACCCAGGAGACAGUCAUGUUGAUGCUUGCUCCUCAAGGGUCUGUUUCCACGUGGGUUCUGAUGGAAGCCAGUGCUCAGCAUGGGAAGGCAAUGGGUAUCGUGUGGGGCUCAUGAGGCCCUCUGCCCUUUCUUUCCUCUCUUGCACACUUCUCAUCUUUUAUGAAUUACAUUGUUUAGAAAUACCUCCCUCAAAAUAUUUACAAUGGGAAGAUCUGGUCAAAGAUUUGCUAUACAUUAAAUGCAAAGAAAAGGACUUUAUCUCUCUUGACCAUUCUCAUUAUUAUUAGAAGUAAUAGAGAAUGAACAGCACAAGAGGACAAACAAUCAAUCUUCCAGCAAACGCAAACCUUUAAAGCCCAGAGUUCACCCUGCUGGGUUUUUAAGAUGAUGGCAUAUGCCACCAAAUCCUUCUCUCCUUAUUUAUUUUAAAGGGCACAUGUUUUAAAAGACCACUAAAAACAUUAGUGAACUUUGGAGAUUAAACAAAACCAUGUGACAAGGAAAAGAGUAGAGACUUCGUUUCAGAUGUUUGUUUUGACUUUGUGCUAGCAUGGAUUAAAAAAUAGGUAGAUGUGACAUUAAACUCUGAAAGUGAGCAGCCUCCAGGGCACCAUUCCCGUCGAGCUAGGACAAUGUGUGGCACAUAGUAGGCACUCAGUACACAUUUGCUGAAUGAAUUAAUGAAUCUCUUUCAGGCAGAUCUAAGAAUCCUUGCUCUAUCCCCCUCUUUCUCUCUUGUCUUUCUCAGAGUUGGAAAUGUCAGAGGGAUGAGCAGGAGAGUGGUCUACAAAAAUCCAGCCAUGGGCAUGGAGAAUUUCUGCCAACAUACACAAACUAGCAGGAAGGCUGAGUCCAGUGCUGGCCUCAGUUCUCUAGCUGCUCCUCACUGAAGGCAGGCACAACUCAGGCGUGCCAAGGAUACCCAGCACCUGUGUACAAAGCCAGCCUGUUGUCUCCUGGCAGCAGUUCUAUCCCCUAACGAGGGAAGAGGGAAGAGGGUCUGGUGAACACUGCUGGUUUAUUCCUCAACACCCUGGAGGAGAACCAAGGGGGGUGGAAAUUAGCAAUUGCACAUGGUUAAGCAUGAAAAACACCUUCCAUGGUAACCUACCCCUAGGAGACGAAUGGCUGCAAUAAGGUCUUGGCUCAUAGUGCCCUUCCCUCCCUCCUCUCUCACUUUUGACUUCUCUCUCUCUCUCUCUGCGUGUGUUUGCCUCAUUCUUUUUUUCUCACCUCUGCAAAGGUAACAGACAUGAUGCAGAAAGCCCUCUUUGAUUUCCUGAAGCACAGGUUUGAUGGGAGGUGAGAAAUAUAGAUGUUUUUGUAUUUUUAUUUUCCUUUAACCAAACUUGUGUGAUAAAUUGAAUUGUAGAUCUGUGUUUCCAGAGAUUUCAGAAGUUCUCUAGUUAAAAGUUAACUCAGUAUUCUUGGGAAGAAUAUAAUAAAAGAACUCUGAAAAUAUGAAGUAUAACAUUGAGUCCCCAAUGAAGAAAGGACCAUGAGAAGAAAAAUAAACCAUUUGUUUUAUUUAAAUGUAUAUAUCUUUAUUUUCUCAGUUAUUAAUAAUUUCAUACCAAAAUGUUUUUUAUGAAAAAAUAUUAAUUAAAAUAUAUAAUAUUUCUGAUGAGUGUACUGGCUUGCUGGUGAAGCUAGCCAGUAUUUGGGAAUUGUGUGUGUGUGUGUGUGUCCUAUGAAAGUAUAAAUACCAAGUGCUGAAUUUCCUCAAAAGAAGAGAGAAUUCUUCUAAUCAUAAGCCUCCCAAAGUGAUUAUUUUAUAGGGAAUAGUACUUAUUUGGAUAUUUAUUAUAAUUGUGGGUUUGUUUUUAUUAGAAAAGCCCUUGUUAUUUUAUUGAUCUAUUUUUUAAUGUAUUUUACUAUGAUCCAUCAACAAUAUGGCUGAGGCAUUAGCCAUUAAAUAAUUUUAUCAUUUAAGUUUUGUGGAAAAAUCUAGAGAAAGUUUCUCUGUUUUGCAGAGAAAUGGUAAAAAGCCUGUAUUGACUCAAUUCUAAAUAUUAAGCUCUUUCACAAUGCAGAAGGCAGUCCAUGUAAAAAUAACCACAUGAAAAAACCUGAAGAUUUAUCAGAAAUGUAGAAAAUUUAAAUAGGGUGCAUCAAAAAGUAUGGGCAAAUGCAUCCAAUUUAUUACUGUAGGAUUGAAGAAGAACAUCACAUUAUUUUUGAAGGCAGUAAUUAAGCCACUCACUUUCUCUUUGCUAAAUUAUGAGAAUCUGCUAAAUGCAUGAAAUAAUUUUAAAAUGUAAAGAAAAACUUCAGAUGGGUUUUAAUAAAUUGGUAUAUUAAGAAAAACAAACAUGGUAUUGCUUUAAAUAUAAAUUGUAUGCAUUUGUUAAAAUAAAAGCUUUCUGGAUAAUUGGGUAAAAUAUUCAUUAGUUUCUAGAACUAUAUAGAAAGAAAGUAAACAGAUUUUAGUUUAAGAAAUAAGAAUGCUUCUAGGUACAUUAGUAUAUAGGUCAGGCUGCCUUAAUAAAUAGACCCCAAAAUGUGUAGCGAUUCAAACACAAUGGAAGCUUAUUAUUGCUCACUUAACAGUCUGAGGCAGGUGUUCCUUGGCUGGGAGGGAGGAUAGAGUUGGGGGAGGGGAGAAUUGGGCAGAAAGUUUGUUCCCUCUAUCAUUUGGGGCCCUUAGCCCAGGUAUGAUGUCUCUAGUCAGCUUGCCGGGCCUGGAGAUAGCGCAACUCACAUUUCACUGGUUAGAACUUGGUUAUGUGGUCAUACUUAAUUGCAGCGGAGGCACUCUUGCAGUCCAGGAGGAAGAGGAGAUAGAAUUUGUUGAACCAAUAAUAGCCUUCAUCACAUUCAUCUGCUGGACAAAGGCUUAAUAAGAAAGAUGUAUUUGUUCCAUUUCACUCUCUUUAAAAAAGAAAUAGGCAGAUAAUGAAGUAGCUUCAAGGAAAAUAAGUUAAAAGCCCUGAAUCCUGGAGAAUUGGAGUUGGAAGGAUACAUAAAAUGUCUUUUAGACUAAUCUCAUUUCUCCAACAACCACAAUCAGAUAGACAACCUGCUUCUGUUUGAAACUUUUGGUUAUUGGGAUUUCACUUCCUGAAAAAGCAUUGCAAAGAAGCAGCUGAACUCUGACUUUGUAGCUUAAUAGGGCUGGUCUUGAUCCUGCUGUCUGAUGCUCUGGCCUUAACCCUAACCCUCAUGCAGGUCCCUGUGGAUUGAAGGCAGCCAGCAUGCCUUGGUUGCACGCGCACAGUUCCUUCAGAUAUUCAUGGAGUCACAUGGUUUUAACCUGUGGAGCUGUUACCUAAGGCAGUUCUGGGCAGUGCCGAAUCCACUGGCCCCAUAACAGCCCUAAAUGAACAAAUCCCAUCCCAUAAGACAGUGUUAGAUUAUUUUGGUCUAUAACAUACUUAUACACAACAGUGCUGUUAAAGGUUUGCCUUCAAGAAUGAAGAAUCUGAUGUUCUUCCUCAAUCCUGAGGCCCAGAAAAAGGGAAUUUAUUUAAUUGUAACAGCAGAGAUUUGUCUUGAAUCAAGUAGAAUUGUCUGCAUCCGUUACUGUACACAUACUACUGAAGUUGGUUUUAAUAGAAAUUGAAUGCAGAUUUCAAUCUCAAGUAUUCGUGGGGUCUAAUGACAUGGCAGAGGGUCUGGAGGAAGAGCCCAGCAGUAGCAAAAGUAAUAGCUGAAGACAGAGACUUAGCCCUGGAGAAAUCUGAUGUAUUUCUCCAGCAGGAGAAAGACAGGUAGAUAUUAAAGGGGCGAGGGGUGAGAGAAUGGACUUGAUUUCAACUCUUAAGAGGCCAGGCAGCAGAAUGAACAAUAAGGAGUUCCUUGGUUGAGUGUAUGUGGAGACUUUGAUAAGAAAGAAGAAAUUCGCUGGUAGCGUCACACUGACUCUGACAUGUCUUCUUCGUGGGGAAUAUCGUUAGGUUUUGAGCUAUAAUAUCAUGCUGCAUUAUGUUUUACCAAUUGAUACAAGGAGAGAAAAAAACAAAUAGUCUUUAAUUGAAACCAGCCAAGAGAACAAUGACAAGGAAGGCUUUAGCACAGUGACAUGGCAUAAACAAUAUGUUCUAAUGGAAACCUACUCUGUGUUUCAUGGGCUAUGAAUGCAGUACGUUAGACAAAAUAGGAGAAAGUCCUAUUAUUUUUCAGAAAGUACAAAGAAGGGAUCUGUUGGCUACGAGGCUUUCUUCUUUAAUCUGCUUUUCAGAUCGUAGUAGAAAAUAAUUCAACAAAUUGGAUGAAAGUCCAACAGUUUGACUAUUGCAGAAUCAUAAACUUGGGAUUUUUUUGAUACCUUAGAAAUUAUUUGAGUCAGUUUAGAGCUACUUAUUAUACAAUUUUAUUGCUAUAGCUGCUAUUGUGGGGCCUAACUGUAAUACAUGUAAGAAAAACACAGUACUAGGCCGGGAGAAGUGGCUCAUGCCUGUAAUCCCAGCACUUUGGGAGGCUGAGGUGGGCGGAUCACCUGAGGUCAGGAGUUCAAGACCAGCCUGACCAACAUGGAGAAACCUCGUCUCUAAUAAAAAUACAAAAUUAGCCAGGUGUGGUGGUGCAUACCUGUAAUUCCAGUCACUCAGGAGGCU